UAAAAGUAAGCCUUUUGAUUUCUUAUUGUUUAAACAUUUAAUAUGCGAUUUUAAUUCGUGUUUUUAUAGAUCUAAUCAAGAAAUCAUAGGAUCUAUGUUUUUAAAGCUCGAUUUUGCAUAAAAAUGGUGGAUCUUGCAAUAAUGAGCUAACUAAUGGUUUUACAACAAUUUUUAACUCAUUUUACAGUAAUUAAGAGGUUUAUAAACUUGAUUUAACAAAUCCUUAAAGAGAUUAAAUGAAUCAAAUGAAUUUUCUUCCUUGAGAUUGAAGAUAAAUG
rnacentral:lncRNA from 1 species